rnacentral:sRNA from 1 species
AGAGUCACUUCCGCAAGGUGGAGGACCUCUUCCUGACCUUCGCCAAAAAGGCUUCUGCCUUCAACAGCUGGUUUGAAAAUGCAGAGGAGGACUUAACAGACCCCGUGCGCUGCAACUCCUUGGAAGAAAUCAAAGCUUUGCGCGAGGCCCACGACGCCUUCCGCUCCUCCCUCAGCUCUGCCCAGGCUGACUUCAACCAGCUGGCCGAGCUGGACCGCCAGAUCAAGAGCUUCCGUGUAGCCUCCAACCCCUACACCUGGUUUACCAUGGAGGCCCUGGAGGAGACCUGGAGGAACCUACAGAAAAUCAUCAAGGAGAGGGAGCUGGAGCUGCAGAAGGAACAGCGGCGGCAGGAGGAGAACGACAAGCUGCGCCAGGAGUUUGCCCAGCACGCCAACGCCUUCCACCAGUGGAUCCAAGAGACCAGGACAUACCUCCUCGAUGGGUUAAUAUUGUUUUCUUCCUUCUCCUGGGCUUGUCGUGUGGGGGUCUCGUGCGCUUGCCCCUCGUGGCCUGGCUUGUGGAGGAUCCCGGGAUGGGCCUUCCUGCCCAGGGCGGGCUGCACUUCCCCUCCCACCUUUCCCGUCACCUGACGAGGAGUGUGUGCCUUGCCCCAUAGCCCAUGGUCCCUGGUCCCCGAUAGAGCCUUCAAGCCAGGGGGAGCCGCCCUUGCCUCACUGGGCGAUUCCAAGGGCUCACUUUGGGUAGGGAAGGUGAUGAAGCAUGAAGGCCAGAGCUGGAGUCCAGGGGCCCUAAGAACCCCUGUGCCUGUCCAGCCACCGGGCUCUGUUGGGCUCUCACCUCUGCUUCCCCAGCGUGUCCAACAGUGGUCAGUGGGCAUGACGCAGAUGGCAGUGUUGGGGGCUCAGGCAGGGUACAGUAAGUCCACAGCUGAGAAGGGCUGGGCAUUGACACCCCGCAAGUAGCUGAGGCUGCCACUUUACUUUCCUGGGGUCAGGGAGGGUAACAAGAACUGUCCGCCCUAAUAGAAGGCAAAAAUGCACCCAUUAUGAUGUGAUAGACAGGACGUGGGAGGAGCCCCAGGGAGGAGCAGGGCUGUCCCGCCCACUCCCUGUAGGGGCUUCUCUACUUGGCCUGGGGCCUCUGCCUGGGCGGGUCACCUUUGUAAUCUGCCAAGCCUGCUGUGAAAGCCAGGGCUGGUGGGACUGGAGUGGCUUAGCCUGCACUCCUGAGGCUCUGCACACAGGCACAUCAAGCCUGUACAGGCGGCAGGGGAGAAAUAGACCCAUCCAGCCGGGCCACACAUUCUGAUGGCAGAGCAGCUGGGGACGUAGGGAUCGCAGUUUCCGGCCUGUGCCCGUAGGACACCCUGGCCACCUGACUCCCCUCCCUGCCCCAUGGCUGUGUCUGCUGGUCUUGCUCUUGUCUCUGUGAGGUGCCACGCUCCCCUCACCUUAUGGCUCCUCCCAAGCCCUGCCCGUCUUGCCCAUUCCUAGUGUGAGCUGCCUGGGGUGAGCCAUUGGGCCUGUUGCCUCCAGGUACCCGCCGGGCACCAGGUUGCCCUUGCCUGCGCCCUGCCAGCUU